GCAAUUAAUUUUUAUGUGCAUAGACCAAUUAUUUCAUGAGCAAUGUUUUGAGAAUACUCUCUUAAAGAGUUUUGUCAUUACUUAAGGGUGAAGUUUCCUUUAUUAUUAAAUUUCAUAUCUAUUUCCAACGCAUCAAAAAUUCCAUAUCUAUAUAAAUUACACAUUUUCCUAACUAUUAAAUACCUUUCAAAACUCAAACUACAGAGAAAAAAGGGAGGGAAUAUAGCGAUUAUUACGUCAUAGGAAUCAUUUUAAUGUUAUCGCUACUUGAUUUCGUGCCCCGGAUGAUAAUCUUGUUGGAAACCAUUGUGAAAAGCUCUAAUGGAAGGUUAGGGGUAUUAUUUGGUCGAUCUAUAUGGAAUUAUGAAGAAAGAGACGACAUAGGAAGAUAAAUAUCCAUUUUGGUUGAAAAGUCAAAAAGGUGCUACUUGGCACCCUAGCAUUGGUUCAUCUUCCAAUGCUUAUAACUUUUUAUCCGGGUGUCGUAUGAGCGAACGCCUAAGAGAGUUAGAAACUAGAUUCCAAGAUCAUUAAAUUAAUAUAUAAUAUGUCCCAAAAAGACCUCAUAUAAUACACGAAAUAUAUUGCUCAAAGAGCUUUAGCGGCAUACCUUCUUGCCAACUAUGCAGUCUGUGCAGUCUUGUGAAACUGCAAAUAUCCAUCUACUCCAAUAUCGUAUUGACAAACCGUUUAACGCAUAAGAAAUUAGUCUCGUAGAUCUUCAAUUUAUAUAUGGAUCAUCCCAUAAUUCCAAGUAUAUUAUGAGAAAAGCUUCACUACGCCUAAUUUUUAGCACAUUUAUAAAUGCAACUUGUAAUGACAUUUGCCAACUUUUGUUCCACAACUCGCUUAACUCCAAAUUGUAACACACGACUAUCAUAAACCUUAAAUAAUUAUAACAUAGCAUCCUUAUCACGUUAAGGACCCUACUCUCACCCCCAAAGUUCAUGUUAUAACAUUCCCAACUUAUCGACUUUCGACGAAACUUAUUUCCUUCAAUUUGCUUAGCUUCUAAGCCUUUCCAACCAUCUUGUUACUUGUUAUUCAUGAACUUAAAUAUUUGUAACCUCUAAGUUAACAUGAUUACGUUACUAUAUUUGCUUC
rnacentral:lncRNA from 1 species